UUCAAUUUAAAAAAUCGAAUGAUGAAAAAAUUGUAUUUAAUUUCGUACAACUUUCAACUUAUUUGAUUAAAUUAUACUUCAUUUGUUGUGAAUUCUUUGCUCACGUGUACUGUAUAAUAACUUGUAACAAAUAUGCGUUAUGAAUACAGAUAAUAGCUCUAAUGUCGAGACUAAACGGAAACGCAUGGAUAGUAUGUGCCGUUUUGUUAUAUCUUAUGUUUCCUACAACAACAAAAGCUGGCUGGUGGUGUUCAAUCUUCGAAAACAAAUGUGAUGAAGUUCCUAAAAUAUGUGAAAGUUGCGGAUUUAUAAAUAUGAUAGACUGCUCAGACUUUGACUGCACUGACAAAAAAGAAAGUGGGUUUUGUAACGGCUAUUUCGGACGAUAUUAUUAUGAUGAGAAAGACAAACAGUGCAAAGACUUUAUAUAUGGAGGAUGUCUAGGAACUAAGAAUCGUUUCAAAACGAAAAAAGAUUGUGAGAAAUGUUGCGUGAUCAAAGACGAUUGAGUGUGUUGAAAAGUAUGGAAAUCUUCUUGACUAACCCUGACUGAUGAACAUUUGAUGUUCAUGAUGAACAACAACUGAUGCACAAGCCGAUACAAAAUAUUUCAUGAUUCUAUGGUGUUUUUUUUUAUUUUAUUUUUGUUCUUACUAUAAAGUUGCAUGUUAAAUAAAAAAGACAAUCAAUGGCA